rnacentral:lncRNA from 1 species
GGCAGCCGACAGAGGGGGUACAAGCUGAAAGUCGAUGUCAUAGUGCAUGCUCUUUCUCGGCUGGCGCGUCAUGCUCGCACUCACGGAGGCCGCGGAGUGCCUGGUUGACGUCAAGACUGAACCGGCAUGGUGGGAUAGAAAUAUCAACGGAAAAUUAAUCAGGUGCAGAGUUAAUAAGCUAUCAAUCAUCGGAAUAUUAUUGGUUGCCAUCGGUUGAGAGAUAUAUUAUAGAGCCGAUGAGUCUCAAAGCUAUUCAGGAAGGUGUAUACGUGGCCAACAAAAUUUGAAGC